CAGCCACAUCACAUUGAAACGCCGACCCGCGUACGAUCACCAAAGUUAAGCAACGUCGAGCCUAGUCAGUAUCUAGAUGGGUGAUCGCUUGAGAAUACCAGGUGCUGUAA